rnacentral:tRNA from 1 species
GCCUUCGUGGUGUAGUGGUCAGCACGCUCGGCGCGUAACUAAAAGGUCCGUGGUUCGAUUCCCGGCGAAGGCG